CGUAUGUAAUCUACCUGUAACAGAGGGAUAACCCGGAGAAAUCCGGACUAAUACCUCAUAGCACAUAUUAUUCGCAUGAAUUUUAUGUUAAAGAGACUCGGUUACAGAUGAACAUGCGUUCCAUUAGCUGGUUGGCGGGGUCACGGCCCACCAAGGCAACGAUGGAUAGGGGUUCUGAGAGGAAGGUCCCCCACACUGGUACUGAGACACGGACCAGACUCCUACGGGAGGCAGCAUG
rnacentral:rRNA from 1 species